rnacentral:rRNA from 1 species
UACGUAGGGUGCAAGCGUUGUCCGGAAUUAUUGGGGCGUAAAAGAGCUUGUAGGCGGUUUUGUCGCGUCUGCUGUGAAAAUUUUCGGGGGCUCAAACCCCCGAAACUUGCAGUGGGGUACGGGCAGACUAGAGUGUGGUAGGGGAGACUGGAAUUCCUGGUGUAGCGGUGAAAUGCGCAGAUAUCAGGAGGAACACCGAUGGCGAAGGCAGGUCUCUGGGCCACUACUGACGCUGAGAAGCGAAAGCAUGGGGAGCGAACAGG